UGCAGUCGACGCACAGCGAAAGGUGCUUGCACCUUUCAAGUGAGUGGCGAACGGGUGAGUAACACGUGGACAACCUGCCUCAAGGCUGGGGAUAACAUUUGGAAACAGAUGCUAAUACCGAAUAAAACUCAGUGUCGCAUGACACAAAGUUAAAAGGCGCUUUGGCGUCACCUAGAGAUGGAUCCGCGGUGCAUUAGUUAGUUGGUGGGGUAAAGGCCUACCAAGACAAUGAUGCAUAGCCGAGUUGAGAGACUGAUCGGCCACAUUGGGACUGAGACACGGCCCAAACUCCUACGGGAGGCUGCAGUAGGGAAUCUUCCACAAUGGGCGAAAGCCUGAUGGAGCAACGCCGCGUGUGUGAUGAAGGCUUUCGGGUCGUAAAGCACUGUUGUAUGGGAAGAACAGCUAGAAUAGGGAAUGAUUUUAGUUUGACGGUACCAUACCAGAAAGGGACGGCUAAAUACGUGCCAGCAGCCGCGGUAAUACGUAUGUCCCGAGCGUUAUCCGGAUUUAUUGGGCGUAAAGCGAGCGCAGACGGUUAAUUAAGUCUGAUGUGAAAGCCCGGAGCUCAACUCCGGAAUGGCAUUGGAAACUGGUUAACUUGAGUGCAGUAGAGGUAAGUGGAACUCCAUGUGUAGCGGUGGAAUGCGUAGAUAUAUGGAAGAACACCAGUGGCGAAGGCGGCUUACUGGACUGUAACUGACGUUGAGGCUCGAAAGUGUGGGUAGCAACA
rnacentral:rRNA from 1 species